ensembl:lncRNA
ACAUUACCGAAGAAUGAAGUGUCCUCAGUGCAGUUAUGUGUCUUUGGAAAAGGCACCAAACUUCUGCAGUCGGUGUGGCUGUAAGCUGUCAUGUCAAUCAAUUGAGACAACAGCAGACAAGCCACAAGACAAGUUUCAAACAUCCUCAAACAUUCCACACAGUACUGAUGCAGAAAUGACUGAUAUCAGACGUGAAUCAGAAGCAUUGGACUACCAGAAUGCCAAUCUAUCUCCAAAACGACAAAAUGAAGAUAAAAUCCCUAUCCCAAAGAAAAAGAAAAGAAAGAAGAAGAAAAAAGCAGGUGGUGCAGAGGGCCCUUCAUCUCUGACCUCAGAUCUCUCUGAUAUAUCGCUGACUGAAAAAGAAAAGAAAAUGGAGGAAGACCAAUCUUCUGACAGUGAUGGCUCUUACUGCACUGUAGAUGACAUGCCUAAACCGGCUGAAUCAUCCUCUCAUCUGAGCCUACCAGAAACUGAAACUGCUGAGCUAAAACAGCAUGCUGUCUCGGCUUUACCCAUAGAUGCUGCUUUAAGUCAGUCUGAUGAGCAGCCUAAUAGUAGCAAAGAGAGAUGUGUAGCACCUGAAACGACAGAAACAUCUAAGUUGCAGUUGACCCAAGAGCUGAUCAGCAUUAGCACUGACAAAGCUUCUCCAGCAGUGACCAUGGAAGUAAAUCAGAAAGAUGAAGAAGAUAAAGAAAAAUCUGAAAAUAAAGGACAAAAGAGUGUGUCUAAAAGAAAACAAACUACUCUAGAUCGAGAUGGUGAUAUGGACCGGAAUGCAAACAUAAAGAGCAGCACAGGAAAUCAAAGAGAGACCGAUGAUCAUGUUGUGGGAGCACUGAACAACCACAGCUCCAGUGGAGAUUUACCAGUGAAGGUUGAGCAGAGUCAGAAGCUGCAGUCUGCAUGUACCGGCCAGAAGAAUACAGCAUCUGAAAAACAAAAUAAAAGUGAGGAAGCAGAAACCAGUGAAGGCAAACAGCAUGUCUCAUUUCCUACAACGAAAAAAAAUCAGAAUCAGGAACCACAGAAUUCAUCACAAGACACGGUGUUAGGCCCACAGAAUAAAUCUAAGGUAAACCAAAAUUAAAUAUAUAUUUAUUAGUGCUGUCAAAUCGCGAUUAAUCGUGUCCAAAAGUUUUUGUUUACAUAAUAUAUGUAUGUAUGCUGUUUAUAUUUAUUAUGUAUCUAUAAAUGCACACACAU